rnacentral:lncRNA from 1 species
GUAAAACUUUAUAUAAAAAUAAUAUAUAUACAAUAAUAAUAAUGUAAUAUUAGAACCAAGAAUGUACAUAAAAAAAAAUUUAAGAUAAAUAUAUUAUAUAAUAAAAUAAAAGAAUAUGCACAUGAAAAUAAAAUGAAAACAAUGUGCAAUCAAUGAAAUAAUCCCCAAAAAUAAUAUGUACAAAUAAUAUGUUUUUUUUUAAAAAUGAAUGACUAAAAACCAAAUUGAAAGAAAAAUCAAAAUUAAAGGGAUAUUUUAUAAACCAAACAAAUUAUUAAAACAAAAUUGAGGGCCAAAAUAAAGCGCGCUCAAAUGUUCGAGGGUUAAAACCGAAAAUGCCCCAAAACCCAAAAGGCAACGUCCAGGUGAGGACCACAUUGAGUUUACGCGCAAAAUCCAGGAGCAAUUUUUAAAAACAAAUGAAAUUCAAACAGGGCCAAAUCAAAAGUCGGCACAAAGGGGAAGGACCAGCAGCAUAAAUUUCCCCUUUGAAGAGUAAAAGCGCGGAUCCGGGCCGUGGAGCGAGUUGGCGUGCGGAUCCCAUCCUUCCCCAAAUGGCGCCGUUUUGUUUGCCCUUUAAAAACUAAAAAAAAAAUUUGAAUGGCAUUUUGCCAUUUUUUUUGAAAAGAAACCCUAGCCCCUUUUUAUUUCUCUCCUAAUUUCUCUCCUUAGCCGACUUUAAUCCCUCCCUUUGAAUGCCGAUCCGCCACCAUAAACGACGUCCAACAGAUUCAGGCUUCGAGGGUCGACAUUCUUGGCUAUUCGUAAGAUAAAUCUUUCCCUUUUCUAUUUUCAAAUGCUUUAAAAAACCAAAUGAAAAAAAACAAAAGGAAAUAGAAUCAAAAGAAAACGUAAAAUCAAGGAAAGUUGAAUCUAAAAUCACCUUUUGAUUUCUUUUGCACUAAGAUCUUUUCUAUUGAUUUUUGGUGUGUAUAUCUGCUAUUAUAUCCGUAAAAAAAAACGUCCUUUUACAAUCGUUUUCGAAGGCUUUUAUAGCCCCUUUUUUUGCAACUGUUUUACACGUUUGUAGGUACAUGAUUGAGCACGUCACUGACGUGGCGUGGUGGAGCAGCGCACGUUGCGGAGAAGUGGCAUUCGGCGCUCGAGGGAGGUGUGAGCAGCCGACCUAGGUGCGGCGCACCUAAGGUUUUCUGCUUUUUUGAUGGUUGUGGGUUAGUGCUAAGUGGGCUGGGGUUUUGGGCCUAGGUUUUUUAGUUUUUGUGUUGGGUGUUUUGGGCUGUAAUUUAGACUUUGUUUUUAUUUGUUUUUUGGUUUAUGGGCCCCGAGCUAAAUUGGGCUCUACACUUGAAAUUUGUGGUCGAACCAAUUGAUUCUAUUUUCAAAAACAUAAAAAAUUCCAUGGAAGAGCAAUACAAUUUGAUUUGUUUUUUAUUUUUUCUUCUAUCUAUUACAUUAACAUUUCAUAUUUCUAUAAUAUAAAUUAUUAAUAUGUUUCAAUUAUAUAAAAAUUGUAAUAAUUUUAAACAUAUUUUAAUAAAAAAAAGAUAGGAUACUUGACUUCAAAACCGUA